GCGCGAGUGGCGGAAUUGGUAGACGCGCUAGAUUUAGGUUCUAGUGCCUUUGGGUGUGGGGGUUCGAGUCCCCCCUCGCGCA
rnacentral:tRNA from 1 species